CCUUUUUUCUAGGGGAAAGAGGAAGCUUAGCUACACCUGGAAGUCUCCAAGAACAUCUGUGUCUUCUGAGGUCCUACCCCACAGCACAGUGAGUGGAGAAGCUGCAGCGAUGCUUUCACUGAGCCAGAGGUGGACUGGAGUGGCUUUGCUCAUCCCUCGUGUUCCCUGGUUGUGGAAAAGUGAAAUUUGUUAUGUGACCCUCAUAGUAGGAGGGAGGUGGACUUGUGUGUAGAAGUGGAGGAAUCCAAGCAGUUUCAGUCAGCCCAAGUAAUUGAACAGAGGCCAGCUUUUGAGGAAACUCGUGGGACUCUUACACCAGGUACAACUAGUUCAGGCUCUGCCACGUACCCUGCUAGGGGCUCAGCAAAGCUGGAAACAACUGGUAUCUGCUUUUUCAGCUUUGUGACUGCCAGCUUGUCUGCUUUUCCCAAACACCAGAUUCUGGCAGCUUUUGUACCUCUGCGCAAAGGCUGCAGCAACUUUGAUUCCAUGUCCUCGGCCGCAGUCUGCCAUCUCAUAUAGUCUCUUCAGCAUCCACCCUGAAGGAACUCAUGGAGGAACAGGCAUAAUGACCAGUGAUAUUACUUCUAAAAAAAUCCUUUCCAUUAAUGCUCUUUCUCUCAUGUUUUCUGGAAGUUGCAUGGCUUUUCUAGAUCAUGUUUUGGAGUAGAUGCUGUGUGAUCUUUUUCUCCCCUUUCUAGUUUUUUCUUUCCAGCUUAAAAACGUGAAGAAAAAGGUACCUCUCGUACUUUUAAUGAAUGGUUUAUCUUACUGGACUUGCGGUUACAUCUCUCACUGUAGAUACAGAGAAAGGAGCAAGACAUAGCAACAGGGACUUGUAAGGACAAAAUCCAAGUGUUUCCUGGGUUGUAAGAACAAAUCUAAUGAAACUCCCUAGUGAGCUCCAGCUGUGGAGGAGAAACUGCAAAAAUCAAAUAGUUACGGUGGCAGGAAGCCUGAAACUUCAAGCUAGAAUUCUCUGUAGUGCAAAUUGCCUUUUUUUUGUUAGCACCUCUUUAAGUCAAAAUACAGGAUUAGGCAGAGCUCCACAAUAGAACCUGCCAGUCUUCAGUGGCUGAAUGUUAUCUACAGAUAUGUAUAUAU